UCCUCCCUCUUUCUUCGUGCUUAACACAUGCAAGUCGAACGGAAAGGCCCUGCUUUUGUGGGGUGCUCGAGUGGCGAACGGGUGAGUAACACGUGAGUAACCUGCCCUUGACUUUGGGAUAACUUCAGGAAACUGGGGCUAAUACCGGAUAGGAGCUCCUGCUGCAUGGUGGGGGUUGGAAAGUUUCGGCGGUUGGGGAUGGACUCGCGGCUUAUCAGCUUGUUGGUGGGGUAGUGGCUUACCAAGGCUUUGCAGGGUAGCCGGCCUGAGAGGGUGACCGGCCACAUUGGGACUGAGGUACGGCCCAGUCUCCUACGGGAGGCAGCAGUGGGGAAUAUUGCACAAUGGGCGGAAGCCUGAUGCAGCAACGCCGCGUGCGGGAUGACGGCCUUCGGGUUGUAAACCGCUUUCGCCUGUGACGAAGCGUGAGUGACGGUAAUGGGUAAAGAAGCACCGGCUAACUACGUG
rnacentral:rRNA from 1 species